rnacentral:misc_RNA from 1 species
GAUGAAGAACGUAGCGAAAUGCGAUACUUGGUGUGAAUUGCAGAAUCCCGUGAACCAUCGAGUCUUUGAACGCAAGUUGCGCCCGAAGCCAUCAGGUUGAGGGCACGUCUGCCUGGGCGUCACAUAUCGUUGCCCAAUGCCUAUUGCAGUGCAAUAGGAAUUUCUAGGGCGAAUGAUGGCUUCCCGUGAGCGUUGUUGCCUCGCGGUUGGUUGAAAAUCGAGUCCUUGGUAGGGUGUGCCAUGGUAGAUGGUGGUCGAGUUUGAACGAUACCGAUCAUGUGCAUGCUCCCCAAAAUAUGGCCUCUAUGACCCACACGCGUCUUUUGACGCUCAUGACGAGACCUCAGGUCAGGCGGGGCUACCCGCUGAAUUUAAGCAUAUCAAUAAGCGGAGGA